UUCAAUUAGGUUAUUUUUGUUCAUUUUUAAUUGGUUAAAAAUAGUUUCUGACUUUUAAAAAUGCUGAAAUUUUUUGUCAAAUUUAGUUUGUCCUUGUUGAACUUGGGAUAAAUUACUUGGACCUUUCAAGGUAGAUUUGAAGUGAUUUUGAAGUUUGACCUUUCUUUUAUUUUUAAUUCAAGAUUAAUUAAAUAUUAAAAAAUGCCAAAAAUAUUUUGUUCAUUUCUUGACUUCUAAUCUUCAUCUCACUUAUGUUUU
rnacentral:lncRNA from 1 species